AUGAAACUUUAGAAGGGCACAGGAAGUUUUUUUAAUCAAAUUGUAGGUUCUACAGAGAUUGAUGACAUGAUUUGCAAAUCAACAAACCUGCUGUUGGCCUGGACUCUGAGCACUUCUUGCAGAAAUUCAUCAAGAGGAGGACUGUGGGCCUGACAGAGCUGGUCCAGAUUAUUAUCAACACCACACACUUAGAGCACUCGUGCCGCUACCUGGAGGAGUUCAUCACAAACAUCGCCAACGUCCCUCCAGAGACCGUCCAGGCCACCAAGCUGUACGGCACCUCCACCUUCAAGGUGAGCCCUCAGCCCCAGACCACCCAGGCACCUCCACCUUCAAGAUGAGCCCUCAGCCCCAGACCGUCCAGGAACUUCCUCCUUCAAGGGGAGCCCUCAGCCCCAGACCAUCCAGGCCACCAAGCUGUACGGCACCUCCACCUUCAAGGUGAGCCCUCAGCCCCAGACCACCCAGGCACCUCCACCUUCAAGAUGAGCCCUCAGCCCCAGACCGUCCAGGCACCUCCUCCUUCAAGGUGAGUUCUCAGCCCCAGACUAUCCAGGCCACCAAGCUGUACGGCACCUCCACCUUCAAGGUGAGCCCUCAGCCCCAGACCACCCAGGCACCUCCGCCUUCAAGAUGAGCCCUCAGCCCCAGACCAUCCAGGCACCUCCUCCUUCAUGUGAGCCCUCAGCCCCAGACCACCCAGGCCACCAAGCUGUACGGCACCUCCACCUUCAAGGUGAGCCCUCAGUUCCAGACCGUCCAGGUACUUCCCCUUCAAGGUGAGCACUCAGCCUCAUCCGUGCUACUCUUGCCAUUAGUUUCCUUUGGUUUACUUCCAAUUUAUUGAUGGAUUGACUGAUCCUUUAUAUGCGCAGUUGACCCUGUCUCUCAUGGUAUAACACCAUCUUCUUGUGGACCCUGUAUGACGAUGACCACUUUGGGUGCAAGGUUCCUCCAUCCUACCCAAAGUACUGAAAACAAUAAGAGAAAGUGUACCUUACUUCUAAACGAGUGUGUGUGUGUGUGUCUCUGAGACUCUGUGCGUGUGUGUGCGUGGGUGAAAG